rnacentral:tRNA from 2 species
GGGGCCGUAGCUCAGUCGGUAGAGCGCAUCGUUCGCAAUGAUGAGGUCAGGGGUUCGAUUCCCCUCGGCUCCA